UUGGGGUUUUUGCCAGUCGGGGCGCUUGAACUCAGGGCCUGAGCACUGUCCCUGGCUUCUUUUUGCUCAUGGCUAGCACUCUGCCACUUGAGCCACAGCGCCACUUCCAGCUUUAUAUGUGUGGGGUGGUGAGGAAUCGAACCCAGGGCUU